AUUGAACGCUGGCGGCAGGCCUAACACAUGCAAGUCGAGCGGAUGAAGGGAGCUUGCUCCUGGAUUCAGCGGCGGACGGGUGAGUAAUGCCUAGGAAUCUGCCUGGUAGUGGGGGAUAACGUCCGGAAACGGGCGCUAUACCGCAUACGUCCUGAGGGAGCAAGUGGGGGAUCUUCGGACCUCACGCUAUCAGAUGAGCCUAGGUCGGAUUAGCUAGUUGGUGGGGUAAAGGCCUACCAAGGCGACGAUCCGUAACUGGUCUGAGAGGAUGAUCAGUCACACUGGAACUGAGACACGGUCCAGACUCCUACGGGAGGCAGCAGUGGGGAAUAUUGGACAAUGGGCGAAAGCCUGAUCCAGCCAUGCCGCGUGUGUGAAGAAGGUCUUCGGAUUGUAAAGCACUUUAAGUUGGGAGGAAGGGCAGUAAGUUAAUACCUUGCUGUUUUGACGUUACCAACAGAAUAAGCACCGGCUAACUUCGUG
rnacentral:rRNA from 1 species